rnacentral:lncRNA from 1 species
AGGUUGUAAGCUCUGCCCUGGAUAUGAGGCCUCCAUUGAUUCUGGUUCCUCGGGCAUUCUCUAGCAUAAUGCUGGGCACUGCCACAAAUACGACAAGUGUUGUUGAGGCGGUAGCAGGGUCGGUCCCCGUGAUCUCUGUCGCAGUGGUGAUAGAUCUUCCCACGUGCUGCCCCUGGAGCCUGAGGAGGGGCCUGGAUGGCU